GACGAACGCUGGCGGCGUGCUUAACACAUGCAAGUCGAACGGAAAGGCCCUGCUUUUGUGGGGUGCUCGAGUGGCGAACGGGUGAGUAACACGUGAGUAACCUGCCCUUGACUUUGGGAUAACUUCAGGAAACUGGGGCUAAUACCGGGUAGAAGCUCCUGCUGCAUGGUGGGGGUUGGAAAGUUUCGGCGGUUGGGGAUGGACUGGCGGCUUAUCAGCUUGUUGGUGGGGUAGUGGCUUACCAAGGCUUUGACGGGUAGCCGGCCUGAGAGGGUGACCGGCCACAUUGGGACUGAGAUACGGCGCAGACUCCUACGGGAGGCAGCAGUGGGGAAUAUGGCGCAAUGGGCGGAAGCCUGAUGCAGCAAUGCCGCGUGCGGAAUAACGGCUUUCGGGUUGUAAACCGAUUUCGCCUGUGACGAAGCGUGAGUGACGGUAAUGGGUAAAGAAGCACCGGCUAACUACGUG
rnacentral:rRNA from 1 species